GAUGCCGGUUUUGUAAAGAAACCAAUCAAUAGAGUAGCCAAAACAUCAAGGAUGAAGACUUUCGGAGAUGCUUACCCUGAUUUAUAUAUCUGUUUCAACAUAUUUGAGAGAUUGAUAAAAGAUAUGCCUCUUAAUCGUUUGUAAACUGUACGCCGUCGUACCCAUUAAUUUUUGGACUCAAUCUCGAAAGAGAAAGAAUUAGGGUGCAACGAAAUUCUUCAAAGGAGAAAAGCUGAAGUGAAAAACUUACUGAAUUUCAGCAAAAACGUUGUCGUCUUAGAACAAAGAAGACUUGAAGCUGAGGAGGAGCAACAUGAUCAUAUUGAAGGCGUCACAUCAGACCCUGAUGCAGUGAGUUAUUCUACUGAAUGGAAGCCUGCUGAUCGUGAAGCCGAGCCGUAUUCUCCUGAUGUGAAGUCCGAACUACUGGUAGCAGCUGAUCUUAAAGCCGAACAGGAGGAAGACGAGUAUUCAGAUAUGACUUGCAAUGAUCCGGAUGAUUGUCUAAAAGAAGACCCAGAAGAAGAUUCGGAUUCUGAUCCAUAAGAAGACCCUGAAGAGGAGAUGGCUGAUGAUGAACGUGAGGUAUGUCCGCAUAAUCUUCAUCCAAAAUCCUAAAUCCCAAUAAAAGCGUAACUGAUUACUCUCAGGAACACACGGUUUUCAACUUAGGGUUUCGUCUUCCUGCAUUGUCUUCUUCAUCUCUGGAUUUUUCCAGUUUUCAUCAAGGAUUUAGAAUUCCAUUCGUAUUCAUCAUAAUUUGUCGGGUAGUAGCGCAUCAUCCCAUGAGUCUCUUUCCAGGCGCAGAAACGCAGCUGCUAAAUUGGUGGAGCAAGCAGAUUUUUCUUCCUAUUCUCCUUACAUUCUGAGACCUAAGAAGACCAUUAAAUCUCUUGCUCGCUUCGCUUUUACUUCAAUGGAUGCCGACAGGGUUGAUAGAGCUGUGGAGGUAAUUAUCUUCUUAUGUCGUUUCCUCGGGAUUUCAUAUUGAGUAUUGCCCAUUCUUCUGAUAUGGCAGGUUGAUGUUUGCGUUGACACUGAGGAGAAGCAGAAUGAGAAAGAUACUGGUGAUGAUAGAACGAUGACCCAUGAUGAUAUCUCUGCCAGUCCGUCAGUCAACCCUGCCGAGGUUGAACUGGGAAUCUCUAUCCAUGAACAUCCAACUGAUGGACUUCCUUUCGAUCUUCUCCUGAAGAACUAAUGUCGUAACCACCAAAACGUGGGUGGUUUUAUCGUAUCUAAGUUUUAUGCCGCUAUGUAUACCAGAUCUGGAAGAGAUAUGGUCACAUCGCUACCACCGAGGUAUGGAAGAACUAUUCACAAACACUUGUUACUGCUGUAGCUAGAUUCUUGCCUGUGAUUGAAGAGAUAGAGAAGAAAAAUCUUCGUGAUUUCGGCAACAAGGAACUGUAUCGGUGAGACGAUAUGAUCUCUAGCUGUGAAGCUCUCAUAUUUAACGUCAGCUGGAUUCGUCGUCGUCUCGAGAUCAUCAAGAUCGAUAGAGCGGCCAUCGCUGGUAAUAUAUUCUCUUCUGCAAAUGCCAUCAUAGAGGAAGAAAAAUCUCUGGCUAUGGAGUUCGUAAGAGUGGACAAGGCGAUUCAGGACUUGAGGAUCAAGAGUGAGAACUAUCAGAAGAGGCUUGAGAUGGUGUACAGCAGGAACUAUUUACUUUUGGAUGGGCCACUCUAGAGAGUAUUGGUUUUUCACAUUUCAGAAUGUUUUCUUGAGUAAGAUUUGAUUUGAUGAAACUUUUUAUAUUGCUGCAAUAUGU